rnacentral:rRNA from 1 species
UACGUAGGGGGCAAGCGUUAUCCGGAAUCAUUGGGCGUAAAGCGCGUGUAGGCGGUUCCGUAAGUCCGCUCUGAAAGCCCAGGGCUCAACCCUGGGAGGCGGGUGGAUACUACGGAACUGGAGUACGGAAGAGGAGAUUGGAAUUCCUGGUGUAGCGGUGAAAUGCGCAGAUAUCAGGAGGAACACCAACAGCGAAGGCAGAUCUCUGGGCCGUAACUGACGCUGAGGAGCGAAAGCGUGGGGAGCGAACAGG